AUCGCUUCUCGGCCUUUUGGCUAAGAUCAAGUGUAGUAUCUGUUCUUAUCAGUUUAAUAUCUGAUAUGUUCUCCAACGUGAGGACUAUAUAUUAAAUAUUUUAGCACCGGAGCUGAAAGAGGCUUGCUCCUUUCACUCCGCGCGUCGACCCUGGCACUGCAGUACGCCCAGGAGCAGUGCCCCUUCU
rnacentral:snRNA from 1 species